GCCGCGUGAGUGAUGAAGGUCUUCGGAUCGUAAAACUCUGUUAUUAGGGAAGAACAAAUGUGUAAGUAACUAUGCACGUCUUGACGGUACCUAAUCAGAAAGCCACGGCUAACUACGUGCCA
rnacentral:rRNA from 1 species